rnacentral:rRNA from 1 species
UAGGGAAUCUUCGGCAAUGGACGAAAGUCUGCCCGAGCAACGCCGCGUGAGUGAAGAAGGUUUUCGGAUCGUAAAACUCUGUUGUUAGAGAAGAACAAGGACGUUAGUAACUGAACGUCCCCUGACGGUAUCUAACCAGAAAGCCACGGCUAACUACGUGCCAGCAGCCGCGGUAAUACGUAGGUGGCAAGCGUUGUCCGGAUUUAUUGGGCGUAAAGCGAGCGCAGGCGGUUUCUUAAGUCUGAUGUGAAAGCCCCCGGCUCAACCGGGGAGGGUCAUUGGAAACUGGGAGACUUGAGUGCAGAAGAGGAGAGUGGAAUUCCAUGUGUAGCGGUGAAAUGCGUAGAUAUAUGGAGGAACACCAGUGGCGAAGGCGGCUCUCUGGUCUGUAACUGACGCUGAGGCUCGAAAGCGUGGGGAGCAAACAGG